AGGCAAGAUGUUGGCAUAACUGA
rnacentral:miRNA from 1 species